UUCCGCCCUCCCGCCUCCUCUCCCGCCGCCCCCUCCGCCGUGCGCGCGCCAGUUCGAAGAUUGGCCAACACAAUUCAUUUUAUCAGUCCUGCCUAUGCUUGAUGUCAACUGCAAGAGAUGUUGUUUAGUGUUGAGGAGGCUGGUUAGCUUUGGAUCAUAAAUUCUCACCAGAAACAACACAGUUAUGGACCGUGCAGACACCUCAGGGUUUGUCAGUGGUGGUUGCUUUGGUACUACGCUCCUGCUGAUUUUCUUCCAUUUUGUCUAUUCGACCAUCAGUGUCUGAAAGAUUAUCCAGCCCCUGUUUCUUCAGCUCCCCAGUAAUCCUGAUAUUAUUUGCUCUGGCCCAGCUGUCAUAGUGUUAAGCUGUGAUGGAUAACAGCUUUGUGGAUACCACAAACCAACCUCUGAUGAAUGACCCCUUUGUCUUAAUGGCACAAUCAGCUCCAAGCUACGCCCUGAACAACCUGACCAAAAGCGCAGUUCGCAUGGAUUGCGUCGGCUCAGCAAUGGCUAAUUGUGGCCAUGGUGAUGAAAGUACACAAAGCAUGAAUAACAUCACAACGAGAGAUGAUGGUUGCAAGCUUGUUCUAGGGUUGGGUCCAACACCUGAUUUUUACUCGACACAUUAUCAGCCCACUGGUGUAUAUAAGUCAAAAGAAUCUCAGACUUUGUCUGGCCAGAGUUUCUCUUUCACUGACCCAGGGGUGCUGAGGCUUGGCCUGCAGACAGAUGGUGCAGAAACAAUUCAGCCUCUGCAAACACCAAAUGAAACAGUUCAUUCUUUUGCUGUUGUUGACGAGGCUUCAACAUCUGCUGCUGUAAGGAGCAUGGGUGGCUACAUGCCAUCGCUACUCUUUGCUCCCCGCUCCAGUUCUUCUGCUGCCAAUGAGACACAAUUACAAAGCAGAGAUUCACUAAACUCCACACACUACAACAGCAAUAAUACUCAGCAUAUUCAACAUCUUCAGCUCAGCCCUGAACCUUCUGCUACGACAGAGACUUCGUUUGGUGUGAGCUCUGAUGUGGUCACUGGAGCAACCACAUCAGAACAACGGAGUCAUCCCCGUCAUCCUAAGAAGUGCAGGUUCAAGGGGUGCUCCAAAGGUGGCAGAGGCUCAUCAGGGCUGUGUAUUGCUCAUGGAGGCGGGCAAAGAUGCCAUAAGCCUGGGUGCCAUAAAGGAGCUGAGAGCAGCACUGCGUAUUGCAAGGCCCAUGGCGGAGGACGGCGGUGUGAGGAGCUUGGUUGCACCAAGAGUGCCGAGGGAAAGACAGAUUAUUGUAUUGCUCAUGGUGGAGGCCGCCGUUGUGAAUAUCCUGAUUGUCCUAAAGCUGCACGAGGUAAGUCUGGACGGUGCAUAAAGCAUGGUGGUGGGAAGAGGUGUGCAAAGGAAGGUUGCAUUCGGAGUGCUGAGGGGAAGGCUGGACUCUGCAUUUCUCAUGGUGGUGGACGCCGGUGCCAGUAUCCGGACUGUGCCAAGGGGGCUCAGGGCAGUACAUUAUACUGCAAAGCGCAUGGUGGCGGCAAGAGGUGCGUCUUCGAUGGGUGCAGCAGAGGUGCAGAGGGGAGCACACCUCUGUGCAAAGCUCAUGGUGGUGGGAAGAGAUGCAUGUUCGAAGGAGGUGGUGUCUGCCCAAAGAGUGUACAUGGGGGGACUGAAUUCUGUGUGGCACAUGGAGGUGGGAAGCGCUGUGCAGCGCCUGGCUGCACCAAGAGUGCCCGCGGCCGCACUGACUGUUGUGUGAAGCACGGUGGUGGUAAGCGUUGCAGGAUUGACAAUUGUGGCAAGAGUGCUCAAGGUAGUACAGACUUCUGCAAAGCCCAUGGUGGAGGCAAACGUUGCACAUGGGGAUCCGGUUGUGAGAAGUUCGCCCGUGGCAAGAGUGGCCUGUGUGCCGCACAUGGAACCUUGGUGGCCAGGCAGCAAGAACAUGGAAUGGUGAAGAGUGGAGGGAGCAUGAUCGGACCAGGCCUCUUCAGUGGCAUUGUGGCAUCAUCAACCACCGCUGCAAGUAGCAUGACAAAUGAGCACUCUUCAUCAGGCAUCAGCACAGCAUCAGAUAGUGACGGCACAGUGAGGAGCCAAGCGAUGAUACCUCCGCAGCUGCUUGUGCCUCGCUCCAUGAUGCCCUCGUCAUCGUCGGAGCCUACUGUGCAUGGGGGCAGAGAAGCAGGCUGUCCUGUUCCUGAGGGAAGGGUGCACGGUGGCGGCCUACUGUCACUCCUCGGUGGCAGCUUCAGGAACGCCAAUAUAGAUAAGCUCUGAAGUGUUUUCUCCGCCUGCAAAUUAUGUCAGUUUGGUUGUACAUAAAAGGCACCGUGUUGCCUAUUGAAUUUUAUGCUUCCUCUCUUUGCUUGAUAAACAUUUCAUGGAUGUUUAGUCAGUCCAUUGUACAUGUUGUCCGGCAAUUCUUCUGAUCUGCAUUCAACAUGCCGGUCCAGUCAGUCGUAGUUACUGCCAAUAAGCCGUGUGUAUUUGAUAUAUUGUUUCUUAUUUGCUUGUGGAUUAUUACUCCUAAGAAAUUCGGUGCGCCGCAGCUAGGCAGGGUUUUGUAAAAUUGAAUUUUGGCUUAGAAUGUCUGAUUAUUAUUUUUUUGAAAUCUUGGGACGUCCAGGUACUAGUCCUUUGCAGUUCUGUAACGAUGAAAUGUUAUCUCGC
rnacentral:rRNA from 1 species